UACGGAGGAUGCAAGCGUUAUCCGGAAUCAUUGGGUUUAAAGGGUCCGUAGGCGGUUUUGUAAGUCAGUGGUGAAAGCCCAUCGCUCAACGGUGGAACGGCCAUUGAUACUGCAAGACUUGAAUUAUUAGGAAGUAACUAGAAUAUGUAGUGUAGCGGUGAAAUGCUUAGAUAUUACAUGGAAUACCAAUUGCGAAGGCAGGUUACUACUAAUAUAUUGACGCUGAUGGACGAAAGCGUGGGGAGCGAACAGG
rnacentral:rRNA from 1 species